GGAGAUUUAGCUCAGCAGUAGAGUGCUUGCCUUGCAAGCACAAGGCCUGGGUUCGGUCCUCAGCUCCG
rnacentral:tRNA from 1 species